rnacentral:rRNA from 1 species
UUUAUUGGAGAGUUUGAUCCUGGCUCAGGAUGAACGCUGGCGGCGUGCCUAAUACAUGCAAGUCGAGCGAAUGGAUUGAGAGCUUGCUCUUAUGAAGUUAGCGGCGGACGGGUGAGUAACACGUGGGUAACCUGCCCAUAAGACUGGGAUAACUCCGGGAAACCGGGGCUAAUACCGGAUAACAUUUUGAACCGCAUGGUUCGAA